rnacentral:rRNA from 1 species
AGAGUUUGAUCCUGGCUCAGGACGAACGCUGGCGGCGUGCCUAACACAUGCAAGUCGAACGGAACUGUUUUGAAAGAUUUCUUCGGAAUGAAUUUGAUUUAGUUUAGUGGCGGACGGGUGAGUAACGCGUGAGUAACCUGCCUUCAAGAGGGGGAUAACAUUCUGAAAAGAAUGCUAAUACCGCAUGACAUAUCGGGAUCACAUGAUUUUGAUAUCAAAGAUUUUAUCGCUUGAAGAUGGACUCGCGUCCGAUUAGUUAGUUGGUGAGGUAACGGCUCACCAAGACCGCGAUCGGUAGCCGGACUGAGAGGUUGAACGGCCACAUUGGGACUGAGACACGGCCCAGACUCCUACGGGAGGCAGCAGUGGGGGAUAUUGCGCAAUGGGGGCAACCCUGACGCAGCAACGCCGCGUGAAGGAUGAAGGUUUUCGGAUUGUAAACUUCUUUUAUUAAGGACGAAACUUGACGGUACUUAAUGAAUAAGCUCCGGCUAACUACGUGCCAGCAGCCGCGGUAAUACGUAGGGAGCAAGCGUUGUCCGGAUUUACUGGGUGUAAAGGGUGCGUAGGCGGCUUUGCAAGUCAGAUGUGAAAUCUAUGGGCUCAACCCAUAAACUGCAUUUGAAACUGUAGAGCUUGAGUGAAGUAGAGGCAGGCGGAAUUCCCCGUGUAGCGGUGAAAUGCGUAGAGAUGGGGAGGAACACCAGUGGCGAAGGCGGCCUGCUGGGCUUUAACUGACGCUGAGGCACGAAAGCGUGGGUAGCAAACAGGAUUAGAUACCCUGGUAGUCCACGCUGUAAACG